UACGUAGGGUGCAAGCGUUAAUCGGAAUACUGGGCGUAAAGCGUGCGCAGGCGGUGAUGUAAGACAGUUGUGAAAUCCCCGGGCUCAACCUGGGAACUGCAUCUGUGACUGCAUCGCUGGAGGGCGGGAGAGGUCGGUGGAAUUCCCGGUGUAGUGGUGAAAUGCGUAGAGAUCGGGAGGAACACCUGUGGCGAAGGCGGCCGACUGGGCCGACCCUGACGCUGAGGCGCGAAGGCGUGGGGAGCGAACGGG
rnacentral:rRNA from 1 species